GGCAGUUUUCUGAACUUGGCAACAAAGAGCUGUGAACAAUGUGCUAUAGGCUUCUACACCGACUCGAAUGGGUUGAAUAAUUGCACACAAUGUCCUCAGAAUCAGACAACUCUUCGAGUUGGCUCCACAUCCUGCGUUGAAGAGUGUUCUGAAGGUCAUUAUUAUAUUUUAACUUCUGGCACAUGCCAACCUUGUCCCAUGAACUUUUACCAGCCAGACAAAGGGAAAGUGGCUUGCUUCCCUUGUCCACCAGACACCUUUACUGAAAGGGAAGGAACGGUCUUCUUUGGUGAAUGCCGCGUUGAGUGUUCAGCGGGGUCCGAGGACAUUGGUAACAACACCUGUCAACAUUGUCCGAGAGGAUUUUACCGAUCCAACUCGUUAGAAGACCGAUUCCUCAGGUGCACCGCAUGUAACACCAGCUUCACCACCCUCACCACCGGCUCUACAUCAUCUGACGACUGUA